rnacentral:rRNA from 1 species
UACGUAGGUGGCAAGCGUUGUCCGGAAUUAUUGGGCGUAAAGCGCGCGCAGGCGGUUAUGUAAGUCUGAUGUUAAAGCCCGGGGCUCAACCUCGGUUCGCAUUGGAAACUGUGUAACUUGAGUGCAGAAGAGGAAAGUGGUAUUCCACGUGUAGCGGUGAAAUGCGUAGAUAUGUGGAGGAACACCAGUGGCGAAGGCGCCUUUCUGGUCUGUAACUGACGCUGAGUCGCGAAAGCGUGGGGAGCAAACAGG